rnacentral:rRNA from 1 species
GACGAACGCUGGCGGCGUGCCUAAUACAUGCAAGUAGAACGCACAGUUUAUACCGUAGCUUGCUGCACCAUAAACUGUGAGUUGCGAACGGGUGAGUAACGCGUAGGUAACCUGCCUGGUAGCGGGGGAUAACUAUUGGAAACGAUAGCUAAUACCGCAUAAUAUUGAUUAUUGCAUGAUAAUUGAUUGAAAGAUGCUAUUGCAUCACUACCAGAUGGACCUGCGUUGUAUUAGCUAGUAGGUGAGGUAACGGCUCACCUAGGCGACGAUACAUAGCCGACCUGAGAGGGUGAUCGGCCACACUGGGACUGAGACACGGCCCAGACUCCUACGGGAGGCAGCAGUAGGGAAUCUUCGGCAAUGGACGAAAGUCUGACCGAGCAACGCCGCGUGAGUGAAGAAGGUUUUCGGAUCGUAAAGCUCUGUUGUAAGAGAAGAACGGGUGUGAGAGUGGAAAGUUCACACUGUGACGGUAUCUUACCAGAAAGGGACGGCUAACUACGUG